AUUGAACGCUGGCGGCAGGCCUAACACAUGCAAGUCGAGCGAGCGGCGGACGGGUGAGUAAUGUAUGGGGACUGCCCGAUAGAGGGGGAUAACUACUGGAAACGGUAGCUAAUACCGCAUACUAUAGGAUAACCCAUAUGGGAUUAGCUAGUAGGUGAGGUAAUGGCUCACCUAGGCGACGAUCCCUAGCUGGUCUGAGAGGACGACCCGACACACUGGAACUGAGACACGGCCCAGACUCCUACGGAGGCAGCAGUGGGGAAUUUUGGACAAUGGGGGAAACCCUGAUCCAGCAAUCCCGCGUGUAUGAUGAAGGCCUUCGGGUUGUAAAGUACUUUUGGCGGAGAAGCGUUAUCUGCAGAAUAAGCACCGGCUAACUACGUGCCAGCCGCCGCGGUAAUAC
rnacentral:rRNA from 1 species